UAACGAUUUAAGAUGUUUCAG
rnacentral:piRNA from 1 species